CCGGCGACCGGCGCACGGGUGAGUAACACGUAUGCGACCUGCCCCCGCAGGGGGAUAACCGGGAGAAAUCCCGACUAAUACCGCGUAACGCCGCGGACAUGCAUGGGUCUGCGGCCAAAGGAAGCGAUUCCGGCGGGGGAUGGGCAUGCGGCGCAUUAGCUAGUCGGCGGGGUAACGGCCCACCGAGGCGACGAUGCGUAGGGGUUCUGAGAGGAAGGCCCCCCACACUGGGACUGAGACACGGCCCAGACUCCUACGGAAGGCAGCAG
rnacentral:rRNA from 1 species